UUCGAUAAUAACCGAAGGUUC
rnacentral:piRNA from 1 species